AGAUGUCGCUGCACUCUAUCCCCGCAAUGAACUUGAGCAGCUGGUGACAGCUUCACUUGGCUCCAGUUUGCUGGAGAUGCUGGGUGGAACAUGGAGGAAUGCGUUUGAAUCAAACCAUCAACAAUUCAACAUGGUUAAAGAAAACAAGGCAGUCACCGCAAGCUUUUUGUUCAGCAUGAAAAGUGGGCCUACCUGCGCAGCUCUGCCUGCAGGCUCUCCGUCAGCGCGGCUCUGCGCCGGGCUUCACUGUGCAGCUUUGUCUGGAGGCUCUCUGCCACCACAGCUCUGUGUUGGGCCUCAGCAUGCAGCUCCUCCACCAGGCCUUCCAGCUUCACCUCGGAGCUCUGCAGGCACAGCAUCUCUGAGCUGACCUGCCGCAGCAGCUCCGCAUCCCGGGAGCUCGCCUCCGCCAGCAGGACCACACGCUGCUGCAGCAAGUUCACCAGGUCCUGCAGGCGAGACACAUUCUCACACAUACAGAUAGGUAAGGACUCCAUAACAGUCCACAUAGAUUUUGGCAAAAUGUUUUUACACAACCAAAUUCUAUUUCAUGGCUUUUAUUGUUCAUCAACUACUACUACUUAUCAACUAUUUUAUAGAAUGCACUCUAGUUUUCUUUCUUGUCUCUGCUAAAUUAAGUUACCUAAUUCAAUUCAAUUGUUUUUAUAGUAUCAAAUCAUAACAGGAGUUAUCUCAGGACAUUUUACAGAUAGAGUAGGUCCACACCACACUCUAUAAUUGACAAAGACCCAACAAUUUCCCCAAGAGCAAGCAUUUGGUGCGACUGUGCCUUUUUACAGGCAGAAACCUCGGACAGAACCAGACUGUUGGUGGGCAGCCAUCUGCCGCUGCCGGUUGGGACACAGAGACACUGAUACAGAUAUAGAGAAAUAUGAUUCAUAAUAAUUAUAGCAGUUGGUAUGAUAAACAGUGGCAAAAUAGUAACAAUAAAGAUAAUAGAACUAUGACUUACAGAGUGUAAUAGCUUCAUAUCAUCUGACACAGAUGCUUACAUAAAGGUACAUGAACCCAGAAUAUAUAUAAAUGGAACAUAUUAACUCUGCAUAUUAAUCUCAUAUUACUCAGUACACCCUGACCUUUUAACAUCUCCCUGGAGAUGUCCUGAUCGUAGCAUUAUCAUCUUACACAGACUUAAGUGAUCAAAUCAAAGACACCUACUGUAUAGGUCAGAGAGUUUGUGGCAAGCCCAAACCUGACACUAUAUCAAAUCUAUGUGGGGAAAGUGAGUGAGCCACACUCUCCAAAUCUCUAACAAAUACCACUGAGGUCUCUAGAGUUCUAUGUAUCAUUUUGUCAUGUGGAUUGUUUGUACUGGAAUUUUAUUAUGCUGGUCUGUUCUACUCUAUUGCACGUCUGUCCGUCCUGAGAAAGCGAACCCUCCUCAGUUGCUCUCCCUGAGGUUUCUUCCAUUUUUUUUUCCCCGUCAAAGGUUUUUUCGUGGAGUUCUUCCUUAUCCGAUGCGAGGACAGAAGUUGUCAUAUGCUGUACCAAUUGUAAAGCCCUCUGAGGCAAAUUUAUGAUUUGUGAUAUUGGCCUAAAUAAAAAAUGGACUUGACUU